CCGGGCUCCUGAGAAGAAGGAGAAGAAGAAGAAAGAGAAGGAGCCAGAGGAAGAGCUCUAUGACUUGAGCAAGGUCGUCUUGGCUGGGGGCGUGGCACCUGCACUGUUCCGGGGGAUGCCAGCUCACUUCUCGGACAGCGCCCAGACCGAGGCCUGCUACCACAUGCUGAGCCGGCCCCAGCCGCCACCCGACCCCCUUCUGCUCCAGCGUCUGCCACGGCCCAGCUCCCUGUCAGACAAGACCCAGCUCCACAGCAGGUGCACCCAGGAGCCACGCCCCCUGUGUCGGGGCUCCCCA
rnacentral:lncRNA from 1 species